UCGAGAUAAAUUUUUAACCAACUGGACAUGUUUUCACACCUCUGUAUAUGAGCUAGGUCUCAGUAUCCCGACCUGGUCAUAGAUGUCAGCACGAAGGCCUUUUAAAAACUUCUUAACUUUUUGGCUUUUGGGAGUGACCAUUAAAGGGGUAAAGCUAGACAGUUGGGCAAAAUAAGCUGCAUGCUAGGCAACUGUCAGAUUUCC
rnacentral:lncRNA from 1 species